rnacentral:tRNA from 7 species
GGCCGCGUGGCCUAAUGGCUAAGGCGCUAGAUUUCGGUCCUUCAGCAUCUGAUUCUCUAGAGAUUCCAGGUUCGACUCCUGGCGUGGUCG